rnacentral:rRNA from 1 species
GAUGAACGCUGGCGGCGUGCCUAAUACAUGCAAGUCGAGCGAACGGACGAGAAGCUUGCUUCUCUGAUGUUAGCGGCGGACGGGUGAGUAACACGUGGAUAACCUACCUAUAAGACUGGGAUAACUUCGGGAAACCGGAGCUAAUACCGGAUAAUAUUUUGAACCGCAUGGUUCAAAGGUGAAAGACGGUCUUGCUGUCACUUAUAGAUGGAUCCGCGCUGCAUUAGCUAGUUGGUAAGGUAACGGCUUACCAAGGCAACGAUGCAUAGCCGACCUGAGAGGGUGAUCGGCCACACUGGAACUGAGACACGGUCCAGACUCCUACGGGAGGCAGCAGUAGGGAAUCUUCCGCAAUGGGCGAAAGCCUGACGGAGCAACGCCGCGUGAGUGAUGAAGGUCUUCGGAUCGUAAAACUCUGUUAUUAGGGAAGAACAUAUGUGUAAGUAACUGUGCACAUCUUGACGGUACCUAAUCAGAAAGCCACGGCUAACUACAUG